UACGAAGGGGGCUAGCGUUGCUCGGAAUCACUGGGCGUAAAGCGCACGUAGGCGGCUUUCUAAGUCAGGGGUGAAAUCCUGGAGCUCAACUCCAGAACUGCCUUUGAUACUGGGAAGCUCGAGUCCGGAAGAGGUGAGUGGAACUCCGAGUGUAGAGGUGAAAUUCGUAGAUAUUCGGAAGAACACCAGUGGCGAAGGCGGCUCACUGGUCCGGUACUGACGCUGAGGUGCGAAAGCGUGGAGAGCAAACAGG
rnacentral:rRNA from 1 species